rnacentral:rRNA from 1 species
CCGGCGCACGGGUGAGUAACACGUAUGCAACCUGCCUGCCACAGCCGGAUAAUCGGGAGAAAUUCCGUCUAAUACGGCAUAAUGCAUCGACGGGACAUCCUGUUGGUGCCAAAGGUUAAUUCCGGUGGCGGAUGGGCGUGCGUCGCAUUAGUUAGUUGGCGGUGUAACGGACCACCAAGACGACGAUGCGUAGGGGUUCUGAGAGGAAGGUCCCCCACACUGGUACUGAGACACGGACCAGACUCCUACGGAAGGCAGCAG